GAUGAACGCUAGCGGGAGGCUUAAUACAUGCAAGUCGAACGGUAACAAUUCGGUUGACGAGUGGCGCACGGGUGAGUAACGCGUACGCAAUCUACCUUCAAGAGUGGGAUAGCCCCGGGAAACUGGGAUUAAUACCACAUAGUAUUUAAACAUUGCAUAAUGUUUAAAUUAAAGCUCCGGUGCUUGAAGAUGAGCGUGCGUGCUAUUAGCUAGUUGGUGAGGUAACGGCUCACCAAGGCGAUGAUAGCUAGGGGGCGUGAGAGCGUGAUCCCCCACACGGGUACUGAGACACGGACCCGACUCCUACGGGAGGCAGCAGUAAGGAAUAUUGGGCAAUGGAGGCAACUCUGACCCAGCUAUCCCGCGUGUAGGAUGACUGCCCUAUGGGUUGUAAACUACUUUUGUUUGGGAAGAACUCUCUCCAUUUAUGGAGAGCUGACGGUACCUUACGAAUAAGCACCGGCUAACUCCG
rnacentral:rRNA from 1 species